rnacentral:tmRNA from 1 species
GGGGCUGAUUCUGGAUUCGACGGGAUUCGCGAAACCCAAGGUGCAUGCCGAGGUGCGGUAGGCCUCGUAAAAAAACCGCAAAAAAAUAGUCGCAAACGACGAAAACUACGCUUUAGCAGCUUAAUAACCUGCUUAGAGCCCUCUCUCCCUAGCCUCCGCUCUUAGGACGGGGAUCAAGAGAGGUCAAACCAAAAAGAGAUCGCGUGGAUGCCCUGCCUGGGGUUGAAGCGUUAAAACUAAUCAGGCUAGUCUGGUAGUGGCGUGUUUGUCCGCAGCUGCCAGGCGAAUGUAAAGACAAACUAAGCAUGUAGUACCGAGGAUGUAGGAAUUUCGGACGCGGGUUCAACUCCCGCCAGCUCCACCA